rnacentral:rRNA from 1 species
AUUGAACGCUGGCGGCAGGCUUAACACAUGCAAGUCGAGCGGAGAUGAGGUGCUUGCACCUUAUCUUAGCGGCGGACGGGUGAGUAAUGCUUAGGAAUCUGCCUAUUAGUGGGGGACAACAUUCCGAAAGGAAUGCUAAUACCGCAUACGCCCUACGGGGGAAAGCAGGGGAUCUUCGGACCUUGCGCUAAUAGAUGAGCCUAAGUCGGAUUAGCUAGUGGGUGGGGUAAAGGCCUACCAAGGCGACGAUCUGUAGCGGGUCUGAGAGGAUGAUCCGCCACACUGGGACUGAGACACGGCCCAGACGCCUACGGGAGGCAGCAGUGGGGAAUAUUGGACAAUGGGCGGAAGCCUGAUCCAGCCAUGCCGCGUGUGUGAAGAAGGCCUUUUGGUUGUAAAGCACUUUAAGCGAGGAGGAGGCUACUGAGACUAAUACUCUUGGAUAGUGGACGUUACUCGCAGAAUAAGCACCGGCUAACUCUGUGCCAGCAGCCGCCGCAGUAA